rnacentral:rRNA from 1 species
GCAAGUCGAACGAGAAAACCACUUCGGUGGCAAGUACAGUGGCGCACGGGUGAGUAACGCGUAGAUAAUCUACCCCAUGGUCUGGGACAACAUCUCGAAAGGGGUGCUAAUACCGGAUAAUACUAUUUGUCUAAUGACAGAGAGUUGAAAGAUUUAUCGCAAUGGGAUGAGUCUGCGUACCAUUAGCUAGUUGGUAGGGUAAUGGCCUACCAAGGCGACGAUGGUUAGUGGGUCUGAGAGGAUGAUC